UACGUAGGGACCAAGCGUUGUUCGGAUUUACUGGGCGUAAAGGGCGCGUAGGCGGCGUGACAAGUCACUUGUGAAAUCUCCGGGCUUAACUCCGAAACUGCAUUCGAUACUGCCGUGCUUGAGGACUGGAGAGGAGACUGGAAUUUACGGUGUAGCGGUGAAAUGCGUAGAUAUCGUAAGGAAGACCAGUGGCGAAGGCGGGUCUCUGGACAGUUCCUGACGCUGAGGCACGAAGGUCAGGGGAGCAAACGGGG
rnacentral:rRNA from 1 species